rnacentral:tRNA from 1 species
NGUCCUGAGGUGAAUAUUCAUAUUGAAUUGCAAAUUCAAAGGAGCAGCUUCAANCUCUGCCGGGGCUU